AAAUAGAAGAGGUGGACAAAAACAAAGUAUUAGUAGAAGUGACGGGUCAAAACAAAGUCUAAAUAUGGGUGGGAGGUCAAAAGAAAGUUUAAAUAUGGGUGGGAGGUCAAAAGAAAGUCUAAAUAUGGGUGGGAGGUCAAAAGAAAGUCUAAAUAUGGGUGGGAGGUCAAAAGAAAGUCUAAAUAUGGGUGGGAGGUCAAAACAAAGUUUAAAUAUGGAUGGGAAGUCAAAAGAAAGUUUAAAUAUGGGUGGGAGGUCAAAAGAAAGUCUAAAUAUGGGUGGGAGGUCAAAAGAAAGUCUAAAUAUGGGUGGGAGGUCAAAACAAAGUUUAAAUAUGGGUGGGAGGUCAAAAGAAAGUCUAAAUAUGGGUGGGAGGUCAAAAGAAAGUCUAAAUAUGGGUGGGAGGUCAAAAGAAAGUUUAAAUAUGGGUGGGAGGUCAAAAGAAAGUUUAAAUAUGGGUGGGAGGUCAAAAGAAAGUCUAAAUAUGGGUGGGAGGUCAAAACAAAGUUUAAAUAUGGAUGGGAGGUCAAAACAAAGUCUAAAUAUGGGUGGGAGGUCAAAAGAAAGUUUAAAUAUGGGUGGGAGGUCAAAAGAAAGUCUAAAUAUGGGUGGGAGGUCAAAAGAAAGUCUAAAUAUGGGUGGGAGGUCAAAAGAAAGUUUAAAUAU